rnacentral:rRNA from 1 species
GACGAACCGUGCGAACGUUGUUCGGAAUCACUGGGCUUAAAGGGCGCGUAGGCGGGCUGUCAAGUCUGGGGUGAAAUGCCGCGGCUCAACCGUGGAACUGCCUUAGAUACUGACGGCCUCGAGGAAGGUAGGGGCAUGCGGAACUGUAGGUGGAGCGGUGAAAUGCGUUGAUAUCUACAGGAACUCCGGUGGCGAAAGCGGCGUGCUGGACCUUUUCUAACGCUGAGGCGCGAAAGCUAGGGGAGCAAACGGG